AUGUGCCCACACCACACUCAGACUCUGCCCAUUGCUUUGGAGACCCCUCCAGUUCUUGGCUGUCUACUUUUAUCUUUAAUCAGAAGUUUUCAGUGGCAGUUCUUUCUUCAUGUAUCUGUGCAUGGCAUUAAAAGAGGCUGCAGAGUACGGAGCCAGAGCUGUAAAGGAGCUAAAUCAGACUUACUGAGACGACAGGAACAGAGCAUGGCCUGCCCAGGAGGCAGCAGCCAGGAGGCAGCAGCCAGGAGCGUUGCCAGCCCGAUGGGUUCUGUAGCUGCCACUGCUGGAGCGCCGCGGUUGGAGGCGCGGGAUGCCGCCUGCUCGGAUCAGCUGCACAAAGGGGGGCACGGCAGCCCCGGCUCCCCGGGCACUCACGGCCCUCCUGGCUGAGGAUGUGACAUCCCUGCCUCCCCAGCUCAGGACCCCUUCCUGUCAAGUCACUGAUGCAGCAUUGAAACCUCCCUGUUAGUUUAAGGUGGUUUCUGUUGAAGGUACCAGACUGGGAGCAGCUGAGCUCCAGGGGCAGUGUGCGUUGGGUUCUGCUGAUCCUGCAAGAGGGAAAACUCAGUAAUGGAACCUCCAGUGGCUGAGGUACCCAUGGAAAUGCUGACCACACUACACGGUCAUGUCUCAAACCCUGUGAGACUCCAGAGGCAUCUUUUCACCAAGGCCAAGGACAUGUCUUACAUCAUCCACAUCUCUCCCACACAGACAUGGACAUUUUCAGCUCCCAAACCACACAGGACACACGGUUUGAAUGCUCCAAGACAACGUUCUUCAAGCUUGCCACAUCUGUAAGAACAGGAUGGCUCACUGCUUUGUAGGUGCCCUGGAAAAACCUUUAAUCAGAGCAAAUAUUGGAGAAACUAUAAUGAAAGAACACCCAUGCACAUACAGACAGCAGAAACCACUAAGAAAAUCCUGAUUUUCUCCUCCUGCACUGCGGAUCAGCUCCAGGAGGCAUUCUGCUGUGAAAUGUGACUGGGAUCUGUCAUCCCCUUGCAACGAUUUUGAGUGAGGUUUUCUCAAGGAGUGCCCAGUCGGAUCAGCUGCACAAAGGGGGGCACAGCAGCCCCGGCUCCCCGGGGACUCACGGCCCUCCUGGCUGAGGAUGUGACAUCCCUGCCUCCCCAGCUCAGGACCCCUUCCUGUCAAGUCACUGAUGCAGCAUUGAAACCUCCCUGUUAGUUUAAGGUGGUUUCUGUUGAAGGUACCAGACUGGGAGCAGCUGAGCUCCAGGGGCAGUGUGCGUUGGGUUCUGCUGAUCCUGCAAGAGGGAAAACUCAGUAAUGGAACCUCCAGUGGCUGAGGUACCCAUGGAAAUGCUGACCACACUACACGGUCAUGUCUCAAACCCUGUGAGACUCCAGAGGCAUCUUUUCACCAAGGCCAAGGACAUGUCUUACAUCAUCCACAUCUCUCCCACACAGACAUGGACAUUUUCAGCUCCCAAACCACACAGGACACACGGUUUGAAUGCUCCAAGACAACGUUCUUCAAGCUUGCCACAUC
rnacentral:lncRNA from 1 species